CCUACGGGAGGCAGCAGUGAGGAAUAUUGGUCAAUGGGCGCGAGCCUGAACCAGCCAAGUAGCGUGAAGGAUGACUGCCCUACGGGUUGUAAACUUCUUUUAUACAGGAGUAAAGUGAGGCACGUGUGUCUUUUUGUAUGUACUUUAUGAAUAAGGAUCGGCUAACUCCGUGCCAGCAGCCGCGGUAAUACGGAGGAUCCGAGCGUUAUCCGGAUUUAUUGGGUUUAAAGGGAGCGUAGGUGGGUUGUUAAGUCAGUUGUGAAAGUUUGCGGCUCAACUGGAAAAUUGCAAUUGAUACUGGCAGACUUGAGUGCAGUUGAGGUAGGCGGAAUGCGUGGUGUAGCGGUGAAAUGCUUAGAUAUCACGAAGAACACCGAUUGCGAAGGCAGCUUACUAAGCUGCCACUGACAUUGAUGCUCGAAAGUGUGGGUAGCAAACAGGAUUAGAUACCCUAGUAGUC
rnacentral:rRNA from 1 species